rnacentral:rRNA from 1 species
AUUGAACGCUGGCGGCAUGCUUUACACAUGCAAGUCGAACGGUAACAGGCCGCAAGGUGCUGACGAGUGGCGAACGGGUGAGUAAUGCAUCGGAACGUGCCCAGUCGUGGGGGAUAACUACUCGAAAGAGUAGCUAAUACCUCAUACGAUCUAUGGAUGAAAGCGGGGGACCGUAAGGCCUCGCGCGAUUGGAGCGGCCGAUGUCAGAUUAGGUAGUUGGUGGGGUAAAGGCUCACCAAGCCAACGAUCUGUAGCUGGUCUGAGAGGACGACCAGCCACACUGGGACUGAGACACGGCCCAGACUCCUACGGGAGGCAGCAGUGGGGAAUUUUGGGCAAUGGGCGCAAGCCUGAUCCAGCAAUGCCGCGUGCAGGAAGAAGGCCUUCGGGUUGUAAACUGCUUUUGUACGGAGCGAAACGGCUCUGGUUAAUACCCGGGGCUAAUGACGGUACCGUAAGAAUAAGCACCGGCUAACUACGUG